rnacentral:sRNA from 1 species
AGGAAACGAAGAAGGAGAGGCUGAGAGUGAAUGGCGGAAGAAGAAAAAAAGAAUGGCUUAAUUUGAGUAAGGCUGGUUUUAAGGAGACGUAUUUGCUAUU